rnacentral:misc_RNA from 1 species
GGGGGUGCUUCUCAAGAUCAUAAGGCAUUGAUGUUGUGGAGCUUAAGAGAAGAAGCAAAGAAUUACAUUGAGGCAGGAACAGCAUCUUUAGAAAGAUAUAAACUUGCGUUUGAGAUCAUGCAGGAGGGUAGAAGAAAUCUUUGUUGGCAAAACUAGGGAAGUACGGGGUUAAACAAACAUAGAUAAGAGGUAUUUUCCUCCUACUUUUAUUUCAUUGCUAUGAGUUGAACUGUAUCUCCAGCGAUGAAUUUCAAGAUUUGUACAUGUUUG